CCUACGGUGGGCAGCAGUGGGGGAUAUUGCACAAUGGGGGAAACCCUGAUGCAGCGACGCCGCGUGUGGGAAGACGGUCCUCUGGAUUGUAAACCACUGUCCCCAGGGACGAAGAUGACGGUACCUGGGGCGGAAGCUCCGGCUCCCAACGUGUCAGCAGCCGCGGUAAUACGUAGGGAGCGCGCGUUGUACGGAAUUACGGGGUGUAAAGGGAGCGUGGGCGGGGAUGCAAGUUGGGUGUCAAAACUACCGGCUCAACUGGUAGUCGCACUCGAAACUGCAGAUCUUGAGUGAAGUAGAGGCAGGCGGAAUUCCUAGUGUAGCGGUGAAAUGCGUAGAUAUUAGGAGGAACACCAGUGGCGAAGGCGGCCUACUGGGCUGUUACUGACGCUGAGGCUCGAAAGUGUGGGGAGCAAACAGGAUUAGAUACCCCUGUAGUC
rnacentral:rRNA from 1 species